rnacentral:tRNA from 1 species
GCAGCCGUGGCCUACUGGUUUAGCGCUUCGGGCUUGUAACCGGAGGGUUGCUGGUUCGAACCCCGACCAGUAGGCCACG